rnacentral:rRNA from 1 species
GUGUCAGGAUGAACGCUGACAGAAUGCUUAACACAUGCAAGUCUACUUGAUCCUUCGGGUGAAGGUGGCGGACGGGUGAGUAACGCGUAAAGAACUUGCCUUACAGACUGGGACAACAUUUGGAAACGAAUGCUAAUACCGGAUAUUAUGAUUGGGUCGCAUGAUCUGGUUAUGAAAGCUAUAUGCGCUGUGAGAGAGCUUUGCGUCCCAUUAGUUAGUUGGUGAGGUAACGGCUCACCAAGACGAUGAUGGGUAGCCGGCCUGAGAGGGUGAACGGCCACAAGGGGACUGAGACACGGCCCUUACUCCUACGGGAGGCAGCAGUGGGGAAUAUUGGACAGUGGACCAUAAGUCUGAUCCAAGCAAUUCUGUGUGCACGAUGAAGUUUUUCGGAAUGUAAAGUGCUUUCAGUUGGGAAGAAGUCAGUGACGGUACCAACAGAAGAAGCGACGGCUAAAUACGUGCCAGCAGCCGC